GACGGAGGAUGCAAGUGUUAUCCGGAAUCACUGGGCGUAAAGCGUCUGUAGGUUGUUUAAAAAGUCUGCAGUUAAAGGUUGAAGCUUAACUUCAAAAAUGCCGUAGAAACUUUUAAACUAGAGGAUGGUAGGGGUAGAGGGAAUUUCCAGUGGAGCGGUGAAAUGCGUAGAUAUUGGAAAGACCACCAAUGGCGAAGGCACUCUACUGGGCCAUUACUGACACUGAGAGACGAAAGCUAGGGGAGCGAAUGGG
rnacentral:rRNA from 1 species